rnacentral:rRNA from 1 species
UACGUAGGGGGCAAGCGUUGUCCGGAAUUAUUGGGCGUAAAGAGCGCGUAGGCGGUCCGAUAAGUCGGCUGUGAAAGUCAGGGGCUCAACCCUUGGAAGCCGGCCGAUACUGUCGGACUAGAGUCCGGAAGAGGCGAGUGGAAUUCCCGGUGUAGCGGUGAAAUGCGCAGAUAUCGGGAGGAACACCAAUGGCGAAGGCAGCUCGCUGGGACGGUACUGACGCUGAGGCGCGAAAGCGUGGAGAGCAAACAGG